CGGACAUGGGCAUGGAAGGACGGUUGCCA
rnacentral:piRNA from 1 species